UACGUAGGCAGCAAGCGUUGUUCGGAGUUACUGGGCGUAAAGAGUGCGUAGGCGGUGCUCUAAGUUUGGUGUGAAAUCUCCCGGCUCAACUGGGAGGGUGCGCCGAAAACUGGAGUGCUUGAGUAUGGGAGAGGCAAGCGGAAUUCCUGGUGUAGCGGUGAAAUGCGUAGAUAUCGUCUGGAACGCCGAAGGUGAAAACGAGCUCGCUGGGGCUGCGCUGACGC
rnacentral:rRNA from 1 species